rnacentral:rRNA from 1 species
UACGUAGGGUGCGAGCGUUAAUCGGAAUUACUGGGCGUAAAGCGUGCGCAGGCGGCUUCGCAAGUCAGACGUGAAAUCCCCGGGCUUAACCUGGGAAUGGCGUUUGAAACUACGGAGCUGGAGUGUGGCAGAGGGAGGCAGAAUUCCACGUGUAGCGGUGAAAUGCGUAGAUAUCUGGAGGAACACCGGUGGCGAAGGCGGGUCUCUGGGCAGUAACUGACGCUGAGGAGCGAAAGCGUGGGGAGCGAACAGG